GUGUGGAGCUAGAGUGGCAUGGGGGUGGGGGUGUAUUUCUAGUGUAGAUUCAUUUACUGCUAAGUCUUUGACAUGCAUUGUAGUUCAUUUUAUCCAUUUUAGUAUACCAGCCACAGGCACAAGUUACCAUCAAACCUUCCUGCUCGAUUGAAUGCAAUGCUACUGUCAUACUAUGUAUCUUCUUAACUCAUCAGUUUUAAUCCUGUGUGUAUUUUUGUCAAGUAUGUUUGUAAACUGAAAUUGUGUGCUUACAUUUAUGUUGGUGUUGUAAUCUGUGUUGGUGUUGUUGUAUCUAAAUUUCCCCACUUUUCAUUGCGACAGGUACAAAUUGCUUGCAUUAUAUUAUUGCAUGUUACUGCUGUACAGGCUGUGCGAGACGCAGCAAGGAGAGACCAGGCUCAGGCAGAAGACAACACCAUGGACCUCAACACAUUCCACACCCGGUGGAGAUGGACGAGUGACCUGACCUGAGAUUUCGUUUUCUUUUCAGAUCUACACCUCCACCACCAUCAUAUAUGUCAAUGCCUCACAGCUGUGAAGCUGCCACUCCCUCCCAAACUCAUGGCACAGCACCCAGCCAUUCGGAAGAUUUGAGGCACAAACAUCAUCCAUUCAAAAACAUCUGGAAUGUCCUGGAGGAACACAAGAAGACCCUUUUGAGGAUAACAGAAUUCAUAAAGUACAUGGUG